rnacentral:piRNA from 1 species
GCCAAGGACAUUCUCGAGUCACCCAGGAA